rnacentral:rRNA from 1 species
CAGUCGAGAAUUUUUCUCAAUGGGCGAAAGCCUGAAGGAGCGACGCCGCGUGGGGGAUGAAUGGCUUCGGCCCGUAAACCCCUGUCAUUUGUGAACAAAUUGACUCACUUAAUACGUGUGUCAUUGAUUGUAACGGAAGAGGAAGGGACGGCUAACUCUGUGCCAGCAGCCGCGGUAAUACAGAGGUCCCAAGCGUUGUUCGGAUUUACUGGGCGUAAAGGGUGCGUAGGCGGUUGUUUAAGUCUGACGUGAAAUCUCCGGGCCUAACCCGGAAACUGCGUUGGAUACUAUUCAACUAGAGGAAUGGAGGGGAGACUGGAAUACUUGGUGUAGCAGUGAAAUGCGUAGAUAUCAAGUGGAACACCAGUGGCGAAGGCGAGUCUCUGGACAUUUCCUGACGCUGAGGCACGAAAGCCAGGGGAGCAAACGGGAUUAGA